ensembl:lncRNA
CAUUAGCAUUGUGGCCUUUAUUUCUGAACAACAUCAUUAUGAAAGGGGCCAAUAUUUUAUGAAUGAUUACAAAUAUUUAAUGAUUAGUUCACUGAUAAUAUACCCACAUUAAAAUCGAAUUUACUGAUUCUGUAUCUUAUUUCAUGCUUUAAGAGUUUAAUUUUCAACUUACAUUUUUAAGCAGUGAUGAAUGAUAACUAUGUGAGUUGCUAAAUUGUAUUUUGGAAUUAUAAUACAUAAACUAUAUAAUGAUGACAAAACUACACCAGUUAUUGUUUUCAUAAUAUUUACUAUUGACAAUACAAAAUAUAGACAUACAAAAAAAAAGCUGCCAAGACGAAUGAUUUGUCCGUUCUUGCAGCGAAAAGCCAGAAUCAGCGUCCUCUGUAACUCGAGAGAUCGAUGCAAUGUCUUUUUUUCUGGCCUAAGACAAAAAAAAUAUCUCACAAGCACUCAUUUUUAUUUUUAAAAGGUCUUAAACAGGAAUAAACUCCUUUGUUGUGAGGUCCUUGUGAAGCCGCGCUGUCUCGCGUUGUCAAAAUAGAUGACGCAAAUCCUUCAUUUUUCACACUUCAACAGCUGAAAAACACCAACUUUUAGCUCUUGGUUUCUUCUAAUGGGUGGAUUGUGUGCAAUCGCUGUAAUAUUUUAUUUUUAAAAGGUCUUAAACAGGAAUAAACUCGUUUGUUGUGAGAUCGUUGUGAAGCCGCGCGGUCUCGCGUUGUCAAAAUAGAUGACGCAAAUCCUUCAUUUUUCCACACUUCAACAGCUGAAAAAAACACCCACUUUUAGCUCUUGGUUUGUUCUAAUGGGUUGAUUGUGUGCAAUCGCUGUAAUAUUUUAUUUUUAAAAGGUCUUAAACAAGAAUAAAUUCGUUUCUUGCGAGCUCGUUGUGUCACUGCACGAGAAGCCGCGCCGUCUCGCGCUGUCAAAAGAGCUGACGCAAAUCCUUCAUUUUUCCACACUUCAACAGCUGAAAAAAAACACCCACUUUUUAGCUCUUGGUUUGUUCUAAUGGGUGGAUUGUGUGCAAUCGCUGUAAUAUUUUAUUUUUAAAAGGUCUUAAACAAGAAUAAAUUCGUUUCUUGCGAGCUCGUUGUGUCACUGCACGAGAAGCCGCGCCGUCUCGCGCUGUCAAAAGAGCUGACGCAAAUCCUUCAUUUUCCACACUUCAACAGCUGAAAAACACCCACUUUUAGCUCUUGGUUUGUUCUAAUGGGUGGAUUGUGUGCAAUCGCUGUAAUAUUUUAUUUUUAAAAGGUCUUAAACAGGAAUAAAUUCGUUUGUUGUGAGCUCGCUGUGCGACUGCACGAGAAGCCGCGAGGGCUCGCGCUGUCAAAAGAGCUGACGCAAAUCGUUCAUUUUUCAAACUUCAACAGCUGAAAAACACCCACUUUUAGCUCUUGGUUUGUUCUAAUGGGUGGAUUGUGUGCAAUCGCUGUAAUAUUUUAUUUUUAUAAGGUCUUAAACAAGAAUAAAUACGUUUGUUGUGAGAUCGUAGUGCGACUGGACGAGAAGCCGCGGCGUCUCGCGCUGUGAAAAGAGCUGAUGCAAAUCGUUCAUUUUCAAACGUCAGCAGCUCAAAAACACCCACUUUAAGCUCUUGGUUUGUUCUAAUGGGUGGAUUGUGUGCAAUCGCUGUAAUAUUUUAUUUUUAAAAGGUCUUGAACAAGAAUAAAUUCGUUUGUUGUGAGCCCGUUGUAAGACCACUCGCUGAACGGAGCGGUGAAUUCUCUCUCGUCUUUCUCUCUCUUCUGUGGCCAGAUAUACAUUUUUAAUAAGCCCUGACCCCUGUAAUAUUCAAAUAUGUUGGUUUAGCU